AAAUUGAAGAGUUUGAUCAUGGCUCAGAUUGAACGCUGGCGGCAGGCCUAACACAUGCAAGUCGAACGGUAACAGGAAGCAGCUUGCUGCUUUGCUGACGAGUGGCGGACGGGUGAGUAAUGUCUGGGAAACUGCCUGAUGGAGGGGGAUAACUACUGGAAACGGUGGCUAAUACCGCAUAACGUCGCAAGACCAAAGAGGGGGACCUUCGGGCCUCUUGCCAUCAGAUGUGCCCAGAUGGGAUUAGCUUGUUGGUGAGGUAACGGCUCACCAAGGCGACGAUCCCUAGCUGGUCUGAGAGGAUGACCAGCCACACUGGAACUGAGACACGGUCCAGACUCCUACGGGAGGCAGCAGUGGGGAAUAUUGCACAAUGGGCGCAAGCCUGAUGCAGCCAUGCCGCGUGUAUGAAGAAGGCCUUCGGGUUGUAAAGUACUUUCAGCGGGGAGGAAGGUGUUGUGGUUAAUAACCACAGCAAUUGACGUUACCCGCAGAAGAAGCACCGGCUAACUCCGUGCCAGCAGCCGCGGUAAUACGGAGGGUGCAAGCGUUAAUCGGAAUUACUGGGCGUAAAGCGCACGCAGGCGGUCUGUCAAGUCGGAUGUGAAAUCCCCGGGCUCAACCUGGGAACUGCAUUCGAAACUGGCAGGCUUGAGUCUUGUAGAGGGGGGUAGAAUUCCAGGUGUAGCGGUGAAAUGCGUAGAGAUCUGGAGGAAUACCGGUGGCGAAGGCGGCCCCCUGGACAAAGACUGACGCUCAGGUGCGAAAGCGUGGGGAGCAAACAGGAUUAGAUACCCUGGUAGUCCACGCCAUAAACGAUGUCUACUUGGAGGUUGUGCCCUUGAGGCGUGGCUUCCGGAGCUAACGCGUUAAGUAGACCGCCUGGGGAGUACGGCCGCAAGGUUAAAACUCAAAUGAAUUGACGGGGGCCCGCACAAGCGGUGGAGCAUGUGGUUUAAUUCGAUGCAACGCGAAGAACCUUACCUGGUCUUGACAUCCACAGAACUUUCCAGAGAUGGACUGGUGCCUUCGGGAAC
rnacentral:rRNA from 1 species